rnacentral:rRNA from 1 species
GAUGAACGCUAGCGGCAGGCUUAACACAUGCAAGUCGAGGGGCAGCGAGGGUAGCAAUACCUGUCGGCGACCGGCGGAAGGGUGAGUAACGCGUGAGCAACAUACCCGUAUCAGUGGGAUAAUACAGGGAAACUUGUUCUAAUAUCGCAUAAUAUUAUUCAGAGGCAUCUUUGGAUAAUUAAAGUUACGGCGGAUACGGAAUGGCUCGCGUGACAUUAGCUAGAUGGUAGGGUAAUGGCCUACCAUGGCGAUGAUGUCUAGGGGUUCUGAGAGGGAGGUCCCCCACACUGGAACUGAGACACGGUCCAGACUCCUACGGGAGGCAGCAGUGAGGAAUAUUGGACAAUGGAUGGAAAUCUGAUCCUGCCAUGCCGCGUGCAGGAAGGCGGCCCUAUGGGUUGUAAACUGCUUUUGUACGGGAGCAAUAAGGUCUACGAGUAGAUUGAUGAGAGUACUGUACGAAUAAGCAUCGGCUAACUCCGU